CUGCCAUGGCUUUGACAGAGAGAAGCAAAAGGUGAACAAAGCCCUUCUUCCUGGGCUUAUCUGGACUAAGCCACCAUCAUCUUUCAAAGGCUCAGCACCUUCACUAUUUUCUGCAGCACUUACCUGAUGUCUACUGAUGCAGACAAAGACUUGAACAACAGCGCUACUGAACAAAGAUCGAUGAACCACAGGAAGGAUCCGCAAUCUUCAUGAACUUCAACCUGCC